UACAGAGGUCUCAAGCGUUUGUUCGGAUUCAUUGGGCGUAAAGGGUGCGUAGGCGGCGCGGUAAGUCGGGUGUGAAAUCUCGGGGCUUAACUCCGAAACUGCAUUCGAUACUGCCGUGCUUGAGGACUGGAGAGGAGACUGGAAUUCAUGGUGUAGCAGUGAAAUGCGUAGAGAUCAUGAGGAAGACCAGUGGCGAAGGCGGGUCUCUGGACAGUUCCUGACACUGAGGCACGAAGGCCAGGGGAGCAAACGGGG
rnacentral:rRNA from 1 species